rnacentral:rRNA from 1 species
UACGUAGGGUGCGAGCGUUGUCCGGAAUUACUGGGCGUAAAGGCUCGUAGGCGGCCAACUAAGUCCGACGUGAAAUCCCAAGGCUUAACCUUGGAACUGCGUCGGAUACUGGAUGGCUUGAAUUCGGGAGAGGGAUGCAGAAUUCCAGGUGUAGCGGUGAAAUGCGUAGAUAUCUGGAGGAAUACCGGUGGCGAAGGCGACUUCCUGGCCUGUUCUUGACGCUGAGGCGCGAAAGCUAGGGUAGCAAACGGG